rnacentral:rRNA from 1 species
UACGUAGGGGCGAGCGUUGUCCGGAUUUAUUGGGCGUAAAGAGCUCGUAGGCGGUUUGGUAAGUCGGGUGUGAAAUCUCCACGCUCAACGUGGAGGGGCCACUCGAUACUGCCAUGACUCGAGUCCGGUAGAGGAGUGUGGAAUUCCCGGUGUAGCGGUGAAAUGCGCAGAUAUCGGGAGGAACACCCGUAGCGAAGGCGGCACUCUGGGCCGAUACUGACGCUGAGGAGCGGAAAGCGUGGGGAGCGAACGAG